CUGUGUUUCAUAUUUUCUCGAGAGUUGGAGGUCAUGGCAGGGAGAGCCGGAAAGGCAGGUGAAUCUUUGAAGGGAUGUGUGUGUGGAACAAACAAGGACUCCUGAAGUGUGUGUGUGUGUACACACGGGAAAAAAUCUGGCUUUAAUGAAGAAAUACUUUUCUGAUACAGCCAGGAUUUGGGAAGAUAUUCUUAAGACAGGUUUGCCGUUCGAGGAUCAGGACGCCUCUGAGGACGCCGUGCUGAUAAGUGCUCCGCUGUGAGAACUGAAUUCCAUAGAUGGUGGCAUGUAAAGAUGUCAUCUAUGGAUCCAGUUCUUUUGGCGUGGUACUGGUUUGUCCAGCACGUUGUACGGAGUCCGACAGCAGCUCUCAUGAUCAUCUAAAUUGAUUAAUACCGGUAGGCCUAUAAGUGUUGAAUACAGACUAUUUUUGUAUUUGUGUGUUUGAACUGGAAGUCCAAGUUGCCUAAAAUCCUGAGUUAUUUUCCUGGCAGUUAGUUGAAAUUGAAUAAUAAUUGUAAAUAAUUAAUGUUUUUGUUGCAUUUCAGAAAAGUGUGUAACAUUUGGUUUUUAUUUAAUUGUAUUUCAUUUUAUUUCUUUUUUAUUCUAUGAUGCAAUAUUGCCUCAUAUGUGUUGUUCCUGCUUUUCCUGUGGUAUUUGGGACUGAAUUCUGUGACAACUAUGAUUAUAAUUUGUGACAACAGGUAAAAACUGUAAGCAGAAAUUACAACUGAUUUAAUCUGUUGUUUACAAAGUUUUACAAAGUUCGCAAAGGACUCUAUGAGGUGUUUGUAAAUUGAAAAUUGCUCUUGCUAGCUGUUUUUGCAGAUGAAACAAUAUACGCAAAAACUGCUUAAAAACAAGAGCAAUGAGAAAUGUAUGUAGUUUCUGAAACACCGUAGCUGGAAAGAAUAUUCAUGUUAUUAAUUUGUAACCAACCGCAAUGAAAACUGAAACAGCAAAUAUCGAUGUUAUACUCAUAAUAUCCUCCUGAAUCAUAACGUAAGGAUUGCCACAUCAUGAGAUCAAAGCUGAAUGUUUCACAUUGGAAGGUUAUUAAUUGUAGUUUCACCUUAUUAUUCACUUCCACCCACAAAGAAGUUAGGCCUGCUCGUACGAAAUGAGUUGUCGCUACAGUUUCAGCUGUUGCCAUUUACUACACAGUACUUCUCUCAGGGCAUUUGACUCAUAGGAAUUGUGACCUUUUGGUUUAACCGUGUAAACAUCACUGUGAACCUACACAAUUCUCUACCAUUCUGAUCACAGUUUAAACAAAAUCAGAGGUGGAUACAGUGACUGUACAACUUGAAUACAGUUUAUUUCACACAGAUCGAGCUACACUGUAGAUGGAUGUCAGCCAUGGGGGUUGUACUCUGUGUUUGAAUACCCCAUUUAUCAUGUGGCAUAGGAAAUGUGGUUUCUCUUGUACCACUGCAUGCAUAAUCAUUGCAUGAUGGAAACACACCAAAUUUAUCGUAAACAACCUGUAAAGAAUUAACAUAGUUAGAGUUUAAUUUCGGGUUUAUUCAGGUUUUAUUUUAACAAUUGGAUGGUAGCAACUCAACUAAUCUUUAUUGGUGCAGCAUUUUUCACACAAAGUCUGACCCCCCUCCCCCCAUGUUUCAUUUACACAAAGUUGAAUUGCUAUUGUUAGUAAAAGAUUCUGUGAAACACGUACACCACAAUCAACUCUGAUCAAGGAAGGAAGGGUGUGAAACAGCUUCUUUAACUUAUGUAUGUGUUGUUAAUUUUAUCCCUGUGACAUGAGAUUUUUAAAAUAAAAUAUUUUAAA